AUACGGAGGGUGCGAGCGUUAUCCGGAUUUAUUAGGUUUAAAGGGUGUGUAGGCGGGAGCCUAAGUCAGUGGUGAAAUCUCACAGCUUAACUGUGAAACUGCCAUUGAAACUGGGUUUCUUGAGUAUAGUUGAGGUAGGCGGAAUGCGUAAUGUAGCGGUGAAAUGCAUAGAUAUUACACAGAACACCGAUUGCGAAGGCAGCUUACUAAGCUAUUACUGACGCUGAUGCACGAGAGCGUGGGUAGCGAACAGGAUUAGAAACCCGGGUAGUCC
rnacentral:rRNA from 1 species